GUGGUGGCUCAGUGGUAGAGCGCUCACCUGGCAUGCUCGAGGCCCUGGGUUUGAUCCUCAAAACCACA
rnacentral:tRNA from 1 species